UAGGGAAUCUUCCACAAUGGACGCAAGUCUGAUGGAGCAACGCCGCGUGAGUGAAGAAGGCUUUCGGGUCGUAAAACUCUGUUAUUGAAGAAGAACGUGUGUGACAGUAACUGGUCAUGCAGUGACGGUAUUCAAUCAGAAAGUCACGGCUAACUACGUGCCAGCAGCCGCGGUAAUACGUAGGUGGCAAGCGUUGUCCGGAUUUAUUGGGCGUAAAGCGAGUGCAGGCGGUCUUUUAAGUCUGAUGUGAAAGCCUUCGGCUUAACCGAAGAAGGACAUCGGAAACUGGGAGACUUGAGUGCAGAAGAGGAGAGUGGAACUCCAUGUGUAGCGGUGAAAUGCGUAGAUAUAUGGAAGAACACCAGUGGCGAAGGCGGCUCUCUGGUCUGUAACUGACGCUGAGGCACGAAAAGCGUGGGUAGCAAAACAGGAUUAG
rnacentral:rRNA from 1 species